rnacentral:rRNA from 1 species
UACGUAGGGUGCGAGCGUUAAUCGGAAUUACUGGGCGUAAAGGGUGCGCAGGCGGUUCUGCAAGUCAGGCGUGAAAGCCCCGGGCUCAACCUGGGAAUGGCAUUGGAAACUGGCGAGCUUGAGUGUGGCAGAGGGGGGUGGAAUUCCGCGUGUAGCAGUGAAAUGCGUAGAGAUGCGGAGGAACACCGAUGGCGAAGGCAGCUCCCUGGGCUGACACUGACGCUCAGGCACGAAAGCGUGGGGAGCAAACAGG